CCCACAGCCCGCCUCAUCAAGCGGUUCUCAUUUCAUUUUCAUGCGCAUUUAAUGGCGUCUGUUAUUGACUUUUAACGAGAUUUCCACUUCAGC
rfam:Drosophila grimshawi strain TSC#15287-2541.00 scaffold_14906 genomic scaffold, whole genome shotgun sequence.